rnacentral:rRNA from 1 species
GAUGAACGCUGGCGGCGUGCUUUACACAUGCAAGUCGGACGGGAAGUGCUUUUUCCAGUGGCGGACGGGUGAGUAACACGUAAGAACCUGCCCUGGGGAGCGUGACAACAGCUGGAAGCGGCUUCUAAUACACCGUAGGCUGAGGAGCGAAAGAACGAAUCCGGCGAAGGAGGGGCUCGCGUCUGAUUGGCUAGUUGGUGAGGUAAUAGCUUACCCAGGCUGUGAUCAGUGGGUGGUCCGAGAGGAUGAUCAGCCACACGGGGGCGGAGAGGAGCACACGACUCCUAGGGGAAGCAGCGGGGGGGAAUGUUCAGCAGGGGGAGGCCGCAUGAAGGAACACUGCCGGGUGGAGGUAAACGGCCGACGGGUAAUGAGCUUCUUUUCCUGGAGAAGAAACAAUGACGGUAUCUGGUAAAGAAGCAUCGGCUAACUAUGUG